AGCAGAUGUCGGCAUCAUCCUUCCACAUGCUUUCGCUUCUGUGUGGACUUGAAUAUAUCAUCGCAUCUCUCCACUCUUCAAUCUUCCUUUUAUGAUAGAUGGAACAAGAAUAUCUACGUCUCAAAUCUCACAUGACUAGAUCAUAAUACAGAUAUGAUGAAUGUAAUUUACACCUGGAAACCGCAAUGUGCCUAAGCUUUAAGUUUAUGUGAAAUCAAGCAGUCACAAAAGGUCCAUGCACCCUCUGGUUCAAUAUUAUCAAACUAUUCAGAUCAGCUAUAUGAUCAUCUACCUGGAUUCAGAGAAGGUAUUUGACAAAAUAAACUUUUAUUUUUGUUAAAAACA